UGAUUGGUUUUAGAAGUUUCUUUAUUUCUAAUAGAUGCAUCCAGUGCUAUAAAUUUCCCCCUAGACACUGCUUUUGCUGCAUCCCAUUACUUUUUUUCACCUUAAAUAUAUACAAUUUUUAUUUGCUGAACAUACCUCAAUAAAGCUGGGGAAAAGGGAGGAAAAUGUGAUGCAAUGGGAAAUUAGGAGUUUCAAGUUUAGAAUACUUCUUAAGCACUCAGUAAUGAUUUAGUGUUAUCAGAGGCUCAGUGGUUGUGAUGAGAACUUUUGCAUCAUAGGUAGUGAGUAGUGCCUGACUGGGGUGUGGUGGUCAUUGUAGAAGUCUUUGGGAAGCACAUUGCCUUUGUGGAGUUUCUGUCCUGCAUCAGAGAGGUCCAUGGUGUGGUGUGUCCUGUUUCUAUCUGUUCUGCUCCCUCUCUCUGGUCUGCAGAGCCCCUUGGAAAAGCCCCAGCAUCAUCCUGCUCAUGAUGCCCUUUGUGAGAAUCAGCCACCUUGUGAAGGGUGCCAACUCCUGCUAUAGCUAAGAUCUGGCAGGCAGGGCCUCCCAGAGCCACGAGGAAGAGAAAUUUCUUCUAACUUUCUUUCAGCUCUAUCUGAAUGGAAACUUUUAUCAGAUGUUGUAUAAUAAGAUCUCUUGUAACUCCAUCUCACAAAUUUUUAUAAAUUGUUUUAAUUAAUCUUCAUUUAGUUCAAAAUAUUUUAAAAUUUCUCUUGCAUUUCUUCUUUGGCCCAUGUGUUAUUUAGAAAUGUGUUGUCUAACCUCCAAGUAUUUUCCAGCUAUCUUUCUGUCAUUGAUUUCUAAGGUAAUUCCACUAUGGUCUGAGAGCAGACAUUGUGUGAUUUCUGUUCUUACAGUUCUGUGAAAAUGUGCUUUAUGGCCCAGGAUGUGUUCUACUUUAGGUAAAUGUUCUAUGUGAGCUUGAGAAGAAUGUGCAUUCUGUUGUUGUUGGCUGAACUAGUCUAUAGAUGUACAUUAUAUCCAGUUGAUGGUGUUGUUGAGUUCAACUAUGUCCUUACUGAUUUUCUGCUUGCUAGAUCUAUUUCUGGUAGAGGGGUACUGAAGCCGCGAACUGUAGUAGGGGAUUUAUCUAUCUCUCCUGUCGUUUUCAGUUUUUGCCUUAUGUACUUUGAUGCUCUGUUGUUAGGUACAUAUACAUUAAGGAUUGUUUUCUCUUCUUGGAAGACUGAUCCUUUAAUCAUUUUGUAAUGCCCCUCUUUAUGACUGAUAACUUUCCUUGCUCGGAAGUCCUGUCUGCCUGAAAUUAAUAUAGCUAUUUCUUUAUUCUUUUGAUUAAUUUUGCACAGUAUAUCUUUCUCCAUCUGUUUACUUUUAAUCUCUAUGUGUAUAUGUAAAGUGGGUUGCUUGUAGACAACACACAAUUGAGUCUUGUUUUUGAUCUACUCUGACAGUCUCUGACAGUGUAAUUGGUGCAUUUCUUUUUCAAUUUUUUAAAUGUUUCUUUAUUUUUGAGAGAGAGAGACAGACAGACAGGGAAACAGAGACACAGUGUGAGUGGGAAAGGGGCAGAGGGAGAGGGAGACACAGAAUCCGAAGCAGGCUCCAGGCUCUGAGCUGUUAGCACUGAGCCCAACAUGAGGCUCAAACUCACGAACUAGGAGCUUAUGACCUGAGGCGAAGUCGGACGCUUAACUGACUGAGCCACUCAGGUGCCCCUGUAAUUGACACAUUUCUAAACUUAAAAAAGUCAUCCAAAUGAUAUUUGCAACAAGGCAUGAUUAUCUUAUAUUGAUUUUUUCUAUAGAAUAAUUCUUAGUUUAGAGAAAUUCUGAACUUUGCAAUGCUGUCACAAUCAGUCACUUAUAGGUGGCUAAAGACCAUCACAAACGAUCAAUUUUACAAAAGAAAAAUAAUUUAAAAUAAUGUCACAAAAUGUACAUAUUUAAUUUAUAAAGCAUCACAAAAAAUAAAUAUUAUAAAUUAUAAAACAUUUAAAAAUUGCUUCCUAUGUAGACAACUUUUAGCAAAGCGUUCGUUCCCUUGUUACUAAAAUUUUAUUUGCUCACAAAAUUGUCUUUCACCUAAUAUCCUUGAAAAUAUCUUCUGUGUCAUCUUUACUCCUCAGAUCCCAGAAUUUCCCUGAGAGUUUUUCAGGGGUUAAUCAACACUGGAGUUUGGGUGAGGUGACAGCCAGCUCCAUUAAAAAAAUAAUGAUAAUAAUAGAAAAUAAAUAACAGCCCAGCAGGAGGGCUUUAGGAGGCUUGCAGUUGUCAGAUGUGUAUGGUUAAGCACUGUGGCUGUAAGACAUCAUAGAUUAGAGCAAAGAAGUGCUUUGAGGGUUAAUGUGGGAACACACUAGCCCUACUGGGACAGAGCAGAUUUCUUGGAGAAUGCAAUUCUGUAUUUGAUUCCCAGAGCAAUCCGUUCUUUUGCCCAACGGAAUUCUUGAAUUUUUAUUUCUGGCCACAAGGUGGCAUCUGAUUUUCAUUAAUGCAGGAAUCCCACAUCUCCUCUCACCCCUCACACUGGAAACCCGCCUCUGGCUCAGCUUCUGGAAGCUUAUUGUACCAGAACAUUUUUCAAAUGGCAGCAUCUCUAAAGGAAAUUGCAUUAACUUAUGUUUGUCUAGGGGCCUCGAAGCAAACCUUUUUUUAUCUGCCAAGAGAGGAGGCACGAAGUAUUUUGACAUAUGUGCCACACACAUACCGUUUUGCUUAUGAGAAGGAGGGUACGAAAAAGGCCUACUCAAAUCUACCUUUCAAGCUGGGUCUAUACAAAGUACAUGCAAGAAAUAACCGUAAAGGAAAAACUCACAAGACCAACUGUCUACGUUCCAGACCAUUAUUAUGAGUAAGGUCUCUGGAUCCACGAGGGGAGGGAUCAAGCCUGAUAGGUUCACCAUUGCUCCCCCUUUACCUCUCACAGUACUAACGCCUAGUAGGUGCUCAAAACCAACCAACCAACCAAAAACAACAACAAAACUUAUGGAAUGCUUGGGCGAAGAAGCCCGAAAAGUGUUUCAUGGAAGAGUUGGAGUGAAGCUGACUCUAAACUAUGAGCAUAGGUCGGAUGGAGAAAGUCAAGGUGGGGAUGUGUGUUGCGACUUGGGGAGUCAGCACGACCACUGGGGCCCUGCUGAGGGCUGUGCCUUCUCCAGGGGGAUGUUGAGAACCAUUUUUAAUGGACUAUCAAAAUGCAAAGUACGCAGCGGGACAUGGAGAGGACACCGAGAAAGACCCCUGGUGCCUAUGUACAUAACAAUACCAGGCAAUAUGGGACACCUGGCCUUACUUAGGUGGUAUAGAGCCUGACUGGGUCUUUCAGAGCAGGAAGCCACCCACCUGGCUGAUCACACCAGGGUCCCUUAGUAAGGCCUGCUCCAAUCAUGUCCGAUAUUUGAAUAGCCUUUUCCAGUUUACCAAGCGUCUUUUCAAACACCAGCACGUUUAAUACUGACAAUAUCCCUGUGAUGUCAGCGCAGUUAGUAUCUCUGCUUUACAGAUGGGGAAGUUGAGGCUCAGAGAGGUGAAAUGACUUGCCCAAGGUCACUUGGCCCUCUGCUCUGACCCUGCGUAUUGAAGGAGGGGCAAAGUGAGAGUUAGCAAGAAUCUGAUAGACCAAAGUAAGAUUUCCCCACUUCUCUUUCUGUCUUAUUACAGCCCAAAGGCAGUAAUAGGCACAUGCAUGAUGUUUUUGCCCUGAUGUUUUUGCCAUACAUGGUCCAAGGGUUUUAUUUUUUCAAUGAGAGCAUAGGCGUAAAAAACUGGUAAAAUGCCAUCAAGUUAAAACAACAAAGAGGAAAUGAUCUCAAAGUUUUUUAGUCAAGAUCAUGUUAAUUUACAGUCAGAACCAUUUACAUCAUUUUUAUUCCCCUUUUAGGACCUUUGCGCUCAAGGAGCUUGCAGUCUAGUUGCAUAGGGAAAGCACACUCAUGCUCAUUGUGGCAGAUCUUAU